rnacentral:snRNA from 1 species
GGCGCAAGUGAAAUACCA